GAUAAUUAUUUCAAUAAGAUUAAGCUGUUAUCGAUUUUUUUUUUUUAACGAGAUCCUCACGAAAUUGAAUUCUUUAUCACGAGAAAAUUGGUCGAUUAAUCGAUAAAACUUGCAAAUAAUUUAAUCGAUCAACCAAUCGGUUAAUCACGACCACGUUACGUGCUAUCUUUCUUAUCACUCUAUCGUACGUGAAUCGAUCGUGAGAGAUGUAUAUUUAUCGCACUUUUCUCAUCGAUCUCGUACCCGUAGGUAUUCGAUCGAAACGUCCCGAAGAUUUUCUUUCUCUUUCUCUAUCACGCGUUUGACGUUUGACGCGUGCGAUAUCGUCCUUCCACGUCACCCUUUCCCGUAACUUCGACUAACAUUUUUCGUCAGCUGUGUUUCAUCCAAAUGCGAUAACGACGAUGACAUUAGUAUUUCUAUAUUAUUUAACAGAAGGAAUUCAUGCGUGUUCACGAAUAUGAUACGAAUGUCGAUAAAAGAGGUCUACUAUCAUUGCAAAAUAUCGUCGGCUAUAAUUUCGGACGCUGAUUGGAAGAUGUUUCUAUAUAAACCAAAAAACACCGUUAUUGUAGGUUGUUCUAAUUUAUCAAAAACCAAAUAAUAUAACUGAAUCGUUGCAUAGAAUUCGAAUCGUAUAAAAAAAGCAAACAAACAAACAAAACGAAAGAAAAAAAAUAGAUUCCACGUCCGUCUGCUCUAUGCGCGAUAUCCAUGAAUUUUUUCGUUUCUUAGAAAAAAUAAUUCUUCGGAUUUUUUCCGAGCAACACAAAGGACGUGUACCGGUCUUCCUUGAUUAUCCUGCCGUGCAUACCACGAGAAACGAAGGAAAAUGAGAGUCCUUGAAAUGCGAACGAUCUUCGAGAAGGCGCGUUCUCACGAGCUAAGAAACAUAGAGAAACACGAACAUAAAACAAAAUAUAAAAAUAAAGAAAAAAACGAACAAGACAACAACAAAAAAAAAGAGAGAGAGAGAGAGAAAAAAAGAAGAAAAAAAACAAAAACAAACAAAAAAUAAUCGGAAUUGAAAUAAAAAUACGAAAAGAUACGCAAACGAUGUGUACGUAGCGAAGUAAAAA